AUUGAACGCUGGCGGCAGGCCUAACACAUGCAAGUCGAGCGAGCGGCGGACGGGUGAGUAAUGUCUGGGAAAAUGCCUGAUGGAGGGGGAUAACUACUGGAAACGGCAGCUAAUACAGCAUACCAUCAGAUGUGCCCAGAUGGGAUAAGCUAGUAGGGGGGGUAAAGGCUCACCUAGGCGACGAUCCCUAGCUGGUCUGAGAGGAUGACCAGCCACACUGGGACUGAGACACGGUCCAGACUCCUACGGGAGGCAGCAGUGGGGAAUAUUGCACAAUGGGCGCAAGCCUGAUGCAGCCAUGCCGCGUGUAUGAAGAAGGCCUUCGGGUUGUAAAGCACUUUCAGCGGGGAGGCGUUACCCGCAGAAGAAGCACCGGCUAACUCCGUGCCAGCAGCCGCGGUAAUUC
rnacentral:rRNA from 1 species